CACUAAACAUAGAAAAUGAAAGGGGGAGUUUCAGGUUAAAGUUUUUGGUCAAGGUAGUUUUUGAUGAAGCUGAAUUCCAAUCAACUUGAAACUUAGUACACUUGUUGGUUAUGAUAUGAUCUUUCUAAUUUUAAAGCCAAAUUAGACUUAUGACCCCAAUUUCACGGUUCACUAAACAUAGAAAAUGAAAGUGGGAGUUUAAGGUUAAAGUUUUGGUCAAGGUAGUUUUUGAUGAAAUUGAAGUCCAAUCAACUUGAAACUUAGUACAUAUGUUCCCUAUAGUAUAAUCUUUCUAAUUUUAAUGCCAAAUUAGAUUAUUACCCAAUUUUUACAGUCCAUGGAACAUGGAAAAGGAUAGUGCAAGUGGGGCAUACGUGUACUUUGGACACAUUCUUGUUUAUGUAUUUACAUUUUCGGUGUGAGGGUACACGGGACAUACAGUCAAUGUUUAGUUAUUUAUUUUUUGGAAAUGCAAAAGUUUUCUUUGCCUUUCCACGUGUUCAAUGUGUUCCCUCGCCCAUAGUGUUACCAAUUUUCAUCGUUCCGUCCGUUUGGCAGUCGGAAUCCAGCAAUUG
rnacentral:lncRNA from 1 species